CAAAAGUGACUAAUUUAGAGUGCACAUGUGAGCGGGAUUGAACCCAUAUCACACAAGUGAUGUCAAAGCAUAGAUAAGUUGCAGUGAAAAAAGAGUAAGGACAUUUAUAAUGAAAGAAGAAGUCUCCUACAUAACAGCUGUUAUCAACAAUCCUCGUCGUCACGAAACCUCUGCCACUAAAAUCCUGGAAGCGUGAAAAACAAGAGUGAGUGAGCCUGAAAAUAAAGUUUUGUAAAACCUUUUUGAAAAGUGUAACCCAUCAUUGUAAAACAAGUAUAUGGUUUCCCAAAAAUGUUAUAAUAAUAGUAUGUAAUAGGUACCCUGUAACAUAAGUGAGGUAAAGAAUGUAGGCAUAACAAGGUAUCUCAAUUCAUUAUUAAAAGAAAUCAAUGCUCAUUAAUGUAUGUAGGCACACAAGUCCAUUGUAGAGAUAUUAAGACAAUGGGACAGGGUGUGGGUUUUACAUUCUAGUACUACAUCACGUGAGCUGCGCUAGUCGCAUCACAUACGAGUCCAAAACAUCACACAAAAGGACAAGCUGACACCUAACUUUGGAUCCAAAGCGAAUGUAAACGGUGCAUGUGAACUACACGUGAAGCUCGUCUUUGGCCCAUGAUAGUACAAAUAACUAAGAGACAUCAUGCAAACAUGUAAUAAUGAGCAGAUAAAACGCAAGGAUGUCAUGCCACAAGUUUAUGCUCACAAAUAAUAUUAAAAACAUAAAGUGUAUGAAAAGUCUAUUUGUAAGGCUAAACAUGGCAUGUCACAUCAUAAUAUAUGUGGAUGCAAAUUUCCGUCUUCUUCUUCUUGGACAAAAGUGCACUUGCAAAACAAUUAACACCUUAGGUCAACGCCAAAAGUCUCACGUGCCCACGAUGAUUUUUUUUUAAGGGGGGGCUUUGGCCGAAGAAUCUCCGAUGCCAAAGUUAGAAUUUGAGGGGAAAAUGUUUAGAGAAAUUUAGAGAAUUUUGUAAGAGAGUUGGAAUUAGGUUUUUGGAGAAAUGAUGUGGUAUUUAUAGGGGUGUGGCUGGCCUCCUUUGGAGAGAUGGGAACCAGCCACAUAUGGUGGUUUUUGGGUGUAAUUACAAGAUAUUAUGUCAAAAUAAUAUCUUUCAAUCAAUUAGGAAAUUAAUUAGAAAAUUAAUUAAUGAAUUUAGGUAAUUAAUCAUAUUUUGAAUGAAUAUUUGAGGGUUACCUUGUGGGGAGGAUUUGAUGAGGAUGGAUGAAAUAGGUUUUGAAUAAAUACCUAUUUUGAUCACUUUUGACCUUGAUUGAGUCGUGAUUGUCCGUUGCUUGCCCGUGAGAGUUCCAAUAUGUCUCGAAAGUAAUUUUGUCUUAUUACCCAAAAAUCCACAUGUCGUCUCCAUAUUUUUCUUGAUUAUUUUUUGCUCCACAAAUGCCCCUACAUCUGUUAGGCUGCUCGCAGGAAAUGACAGUAGGUGUAGAGAUCUUCUUGCUUUAGGAAACAUAGGAUUGUUUCCUAUUUUGAUCUAGAUUCUCUCUUUAAUUGGAAAUUAAGUCUUUCUAGGAAAGGGAAAUAAAUUUCUCCCAAAGUCUAUUUAAGUCUACCUUAAGUAGAUUAUUAAAUCAACUUUAGAGAGCAAUUUAUUCUACCCCAUGAUGAGUCAAUAUUAUAUUAUAUAUUUUACCCUAUUCUUAGUAUAAUUUGGUAAUUAUUUUGGUAGAAUUUUAAUUCUUUGCUUUAUAUUUUCAAUAUAGGACAUCCGACUUCCUUUGGAGAAAAACAUGAUCAAACGGACGAAUUUUAGAGUGAUUUAAAUUGGAGAACGUUCGUGUGUCUCUUGGAUUGUUCCUGUCAAAAUUUGAGAUUUUUCUACCAAGCGGUUAUUUUCUGCCGAUUAAAUAAAGGAGCAGGGCGCAUUGCUGAAAAGUGACGUUUCUUAGCUUAAAUUACGUUUUUGGAGCACAAGAUGACCUCAUAUGGGUUCGUGGCCUUCUGGAAAAGUGUUUAGAAUAGUUCAAGCUUUAAAUCUAGCUAUUUUGGGCCAGUUUUGGGGCUGAUAUGGGUCCAAAACAUGGCCGUGCAGAUUUCUAGGCGAAUUUACCAAGUCAAUUUAGGAUUAUGUUUCCUAUUUUAUUUCAAUUUAUUUAGUUUCCUAGUCUUAUUCUAAGACCUUUGGCUAAGAGGAUUUUAUUUAGAGUAGUAUAAAUAAGCCUUUUGGCAGACCUAGGGUUUGGCUGCUAUGUAACGCAAGAUUUGAGAAUAAGAUUUUGGCUAGAGCUUAGAGAUUUUCAGACUUUAUUCUUCAAGGUGUUUUCAUUCUUUUUCUAUUUCAAUACAAUUCUUUUGAUUUUAAUUAUGAAUAUGCGUAACUAAUUCUCUUUGCUAGGGUGAGGCCAUGAUCCUUAGCAAGAAUAUGUAGUCUCUUUUUAAUUUUCUUAUGAAUUUAUGCAUGCAAGUUUUGGAUUGUUAAUCAAUGUGCUUUAAACUAUUUAUUUGUCUUAGUGAUUUGCGACCAUUAGAAUAUUUAGAAAAGUAAUUUGAUGCAAUUUUGGCAGAAGGCUGUCCCUAAAAUUGACUAAGUCUUCUUGUGGUUAACAUGUCUAACUACUGAGGAUGGACGACACGUCUUGGGAGUUAUAUGGUUUUUCAAAAGGUUUUCACAAAACUUAAUGAGUCUUGCAUGUUCACAUUCGAUCUGGACGCCACGGACGGGUUGCAUGUUAAAUCUACGUUCUAUGUUGGGGGUUCCAAGUAGGGCAUGCUUUAGGAAAACCUAACCUUCAAAAUAUGCAUGUGUAAUUCAUAAGGAAUUAGAAGAACUACGUAGGAUUGUUAGGGUGAUGGCGGAACCCUAGUGUUUUUUUCUAAAUUUGUUUCUCAAAAUCUUUUCUUAUUGAAUUGUUUCCUUUUUAAUUGGUGAUUAGUUGCUUUCCCUAAAUUACUUUUAUUAAAAUUCGUUUAUGUUAUUUUUAAAUUCAAAAUCAAUCUUUUCCAAUCUUUGUUUGUAAAUAAUUAACUAAAAUUUUGGGUUUUCAUAAAUUUCUUUAAAUAAUCCCUACGGAAAAACGACCUUGCUUCAGUCGUGUUAUACUACAACAACUUUUUUUUCUUGCAAGUAUUUUGAUUGAUUUUAACCUCUUUGUGCAGCUACCCAAAAAUCCUAUCACCCCACAAGAGAGAGAAAACUAAAGGAUAUUUGUUCUCCCUCCCUUAGCAAUCUUCUACACUUGCAUGUGCAAAGGACCAUAUUUCAUUGCUUUCUUUGUCUUCUCCGCACCACACCGGGGUAAGAAAAAAUUAAUUUUCCUUGUCUUCUUCUUGGAUAAUGCUGUCACAGGGUAGCCGUUGGGGUGGUGUGGCACGUUGGUUGGCAAGGGCCAGGAGUCGGCUUGGCAUGGACCGAGGUGGUGUUGUGGCUACGGCCACUGCUUGGGCUGCUCAACUUGGCUAAAGCCAAAGGUAGAUGUGCUGCUGUGGUCGCAGAAUGAGGCGAUAGGGCACAGUGCUAGGCAAGCAACAUAGCUCAUGUCCUUUGGGCUCUUGGACCUGACGCAGGCCAUGUUGGUGCAAUGGCUUGGGCCAAAGAAACUUUGGAGAUAAGUGGAGAGUGGGAGUUUGAUUAUUCCCUUGAGCUGCAUGUUCUAACGAUUUUCAUUACCGGUAAGUAGACUGUUUAGUCUCUAGGAUGCUUUGUAUUUUUGCUAUGCUACUAUCUGAUUCAUUGUUUAUCUUCUUCUGCUUAUAUAGAUUCGGAAUUCGGUUCAACUCCCAAGACUUCUCCAGACAUGAAGAAAAUGCAUGUUGCUCUAGGUACCCAUUCUGAGUAUCGUGAAUGGCGUUGGUUGCUUAGUCUUCUUGAUCGGGAUGAAGAUGGGCUGCCCCAGAGAAAGAGAUAAAACAAAUCAAGGCAAGGGCAUUGGCUUGUCCGAUCGCUAUCGUGGAGCCUGCUGUUAAUGAAAGUGGAAAUAAGAGAUAUUCCCCGCCUGCUCAAGGGAUGCCAGCUGAGAAAAAGCUGAAGACUUCAUUUGCUACUCGUGAGGGUUCACCGGUUGGCCCUAGGCUUGUGAUUGACUUGACUUCUUCCAAAGGGAAGAAAGAUGAGGCUGCUAGAUCUAAGCUAGUGACGCUUACAGUGCCAAAGGUCGCUAGUACGAUUGUUGAUAGGAUUACUCAUCGUAGAAGUUCCGUUAUGCCCCCAAUGUUGAAAUUUAUGCCAAAACAACAGUCGGGGGCUAAGCCUGGUUCACAUUUGAAGAGACUUGCUACUAUGAAAAAUGAUAAGGUGGACUCUGCUUCUAAAGUGAUGCCAAGGCCUACUCCCCAUACUGCUGAGACUAAUUUGCCUGCUAGGAAGAAGGAGACUGUUCACGUGGGCAACUGUGAGAAAUUUACUAAGCCUACUUCUGGUGAGGCUGCUGCGAUAUGUGCGCUUUUGAAACCAGAUCUGCUAGAAGACAUCGACGCUUGUGCCAAGUUUGUCGAUGGCGUUAGAAAGGUUGUUUGCCCAAGUUCCUUUUCGAAACAUACGGCUGAGUAUAGGAAGACUACUCUACUUGCAAUGAUGUAGAAGACGACUAUUCUGGUAGCGGAGUCUAUGCUUAUUGACCAAGAGGACACCAAGGCUGCCAAGAAGGUGGCAAAGGUUAUGGCAACCGAAGCUUAUUAUUCUGCCGAAAAGAUCAAGAUGUUGGAAUCUGAGAUCGUUACUUUGAAGAGGUAUAAUAUCUCUGCCCCCAUUUUUCUGCAGCUUGAGAUCGCUCGCCAAGAGAUUAUUAACUUGAAAACUAGGCUUGACGUGAUCCAAGUUAAGUAUGAAAAUGCAGAGAAUGAGAUCGGUUGUCACAUACCUCGGAUUCAACAUCCUAAGCGUACCGUUUCUGAGCUUUGUUUUGCUACUUAUGCAAAAGAUGAAGAAUUGAUUGCUAUUUAUAACCAAGUAAUCCACUUCAAGAAAAUCGUUGAUAGGCUUGAACCCCAAGUGUUGGAACUUCAAGGUGCACUGAAUAUCAACGAAGGCUUGAAGAAAGAAGUGAAUGAGCUGCAGCGCUUCCAUGUUGGUCUGCUCGAGGAGAACGGGCAACUAAAUGGUGAGAAAGCUAGGCUCGAGGCUCUGCUUGUUCAGAGUCAGGCUAAUUUGUACAAGCUUGGUUAUGUAGAUCAUCUCUUUGGCAAGCCGUCUGACUUCGAAUUUGCUGAGAGAUACUCCAAAACCUUCUCUAUUUCUCCGGAAGACUUGCUUGCCUUUACUUUUGAGACCUCCAUUGGUGAAGUAGUCGAAGAGGUUAAUGUCCAAGCUGGAGUAGCCGGGGGUAAAGCGUCAUAUGAUGUCACUGCUGGGAGCGUUGCGACUGGUAAAGGUGUAGCGGCUGAGUAAUCGUGGGAUGUCCAAGCUGCUAAAGGUAGUCUUUUAGAUAGCCUUUAGGAUUUUCUUUGUUUUCCUUGUUGCUAGUCAUUUAUCAAUUUUGCUAGAAAUUUAAUAAACUUGCUUUCUUCACUUUUCUUCAUCUUUGUUUCUUUUUUUUACGCCCAACCUUUGACUUUUAGACCAACAGCAGACGUGCUGCUUUUCUAUAAGUAGACAUGUUCGCGUAGCCUAUGUAACAAUAGGUGUUGGUGUAGAACUUUUGUAAAGUUGUUAACCAUAGGGUUGGAUGCCGGAAGCUGGACGCCUUACUUCCAGAAGUAGACGAGUCCACGUGACCACUUGGUUAUUAACCUUGGCUUUCUUCAAUCCUUUGAGUUAUGUGGCCUGCAUCACAACAUACUAAAGAUUUUUGGGUCAUGAAAUUUGCUAAGCUUUCGUAUAAAAAAUAAGUGGUUGUAUGGAAUUUCGUAAGCAAAGGUUCGAGAGAAUUCCUUGCUCUUUAUGUAACCAAUUAUGUGGGUUAUAUAGCAAGUAUCACAACACUUUAGGAAUUGAUGUAGAUCCAAUUGAUCAUUUCGCGCUUGGCAGAGGUGAAGCUUAUCGAUUGAGCAACAUGUCGGCAGUGGAUAAAGCUUCGUAUAUGCACGCUAGUUUGUUUAACCUUUCACAAGAAUGUGCGGUUGUAUAAGUCUAGCACGACUUUAGUGCUCGAAGAGUAAACCGUAAGCAGUCUUCUGAAAAUCGUAGGCUACCUUAGUGCACUCGGUAACAGCUUUAGGGUUCUAGGGUAGCCGUCCAUGAGGCGUAUGCGUAAUGUGCCUUCUCCAUUUCUGAGGCCCGGUUCCCAGCAGAUUAGGCCAAGAAACCCAAAAUCCUUCAGUUAUCUAAGCUUUGAAAAAAACCAUUGCGGCUACUUUUAGGAAUCCCGGUGCAAGCCAUCGUGCACCUAGUUACACCAGGGCAGCCCGACUCAUCCAUGUCUAGAUAUUCAGAGUGAAAGUUUAUCCUCCCACUUUGGAGAGUGGACCCAUGUCGGUGUCGAGGAAUUGGUUUACCAUCUCGCACUGGAGAGCAAUUAGUUUAUCCUCUCACAUUUGAGAGCAGACCUAGAUGGGUGUCAGGGAAUUAGUUUACCCUAUCGCACUGGAGAGUAUGAUUGGUCUUUCGAGGGGUGCAAUUCCUGUGAUGAGUCCCUAAGAAGGGCGUAAUCUUCUUUUGAAGUGUGUGAGUGAUCAGUUGUUGUAAGCAUGCAGCCGAGCCAAGUUGUAGAUUGCUUCUGAAUUCCCCAUUGAAAAACGAGUGAAACGAACGAGAAUUUAACUGUAAGGUAGGAACUACAUAACAACUGGAUAGUCCUCGGCUUGCGAGGUGGUGCCUGUCGAGCUGCUUGAGUCUUCAAGCUUUGAUGUGGCAGGAGGUUAAACAUGGUACUCCUUCAGAUUGUAGGCGUUCCACUGCUUUUCGAUCUCUUUGUUGUUCAUAGUGGCAAGGGUGUUACUACCCUUGCCGCCUACUUUGCUGAUCUUGUACGGACCUUCUUAGAUGGGAUCUAUCUUUUUGGAGUCUUCUCUGCGGGCAGUGAUGAAGGCUUUCCUUAGGACUAGAUCUCCAGGUUGGAACUGCCGGAUCUUGGCCCUUUUUUUGUAGUUGGAGAUAAGUUGCUGCUGGUAGGCUACAAUGCAGGUGAUGGUCUGCUCACAUUUUUCCUCUGCCAGAUCUAUACUUGUGGCAAUCUCCUUACUGUUCUGCUCAAUGCUUAGCAAUAGAGUACUGAUACUUAGCACAAUGACAUUUGGGAAAAAUGAUUGCUUCUAAACCAAAUGCCAAAGAGAAAUGAGUCUCACCAGUGGCUCGUCAUUUAGUCAUGUGAUAUGCCCAUUAACAUAUAGGGAGUUCGUCUGGCCACUUUCCCUUCUUAUCAGAGAAGGAUUUCUUGAGGCAGUCGAGAAUCGUCUUGUUGGAUGCUUUGGCCUGCACAUUGCCUUGAGGAUAUCUCAGUGUGGACAUGUGCUGCUUGAUGUUAUACUUUUGGAAGAACUUCGCCAAAUCUUUGCCUACGAAUUAUGGGUUGUUGUCGGUGAUGAUGGAUUGGGGAUGCCAAAUCGACAAAUAAUGUUCUUUCAUAUAAAGCGCUCUAUGUCCAUUUGAGUCGUGGUUGUCAUGGGCUCUACUUCUACCCAUUUGGUGAAGUAAUCGGUUGCCACGAUCAUCAUGCAUCUGCCCCCAGUAACGGGCGACAUUGGCCCUACCAAGUUGAUUCACACUGCAUGAACGGCCAGAGACUCAUUUGUGGGUGUAGCUUGCUAGCAGGCAGUGCUGGUACCAGCUUGUAGCGUUGGCAGCGGUUGCACUUUUGCACUAACUUCUUAGCAUCUUGAUGCAUGGUAAGUUAGUAGUAACCUAUGUUAAGAGCCCUAUGCACUAAUGAUGGGCCUCUGGAAUGAUUUCCACAAACAUCUUCAUGGAUUGAGGUUAGAACCUUUAGGUCGUCAGGAAGUGCUAGGCAACAAAGAUGUGGUCCAAUGUAAGAUCUUCGGGGUAAAAUGUUGUUCCACAUGUAGUAGCGUGCUGCCUUUAUUUAGAGCUUUCUAGACUACAACCUUUCCUUGGGGAGUGUGCCAUUAACCAGGUAGUUUAUAAUAGAACUUUGCCAGUUUGGAGUUGUACUAACCUGUGACACUUCGGCUGCCAACUCUACGCUUGGCUUGUCUAGAUACUUUACCAAGAUAGAGCAUUUGAGUUGGUGGUUAGGGGCAAAGCCUAGGCCAGCUAAUGCUUCGGCGUAGGUGUUGUCUGCCAACGGAACUUUGAGUGAGGGUGUAAGUCUGAAAUGCCUCAAGUUGCUUGCAAAUUUUCUCUAAGUAUUAAGCCAUCCUUGGAUGUUUUUCCAUGUACUCCCCAGUAGUCUAGCUGGUGAUUAGCUGGGAAUCAGAAUGAAUUGCAAGCUUUUUCUUUGCCAAGUCUUUUGCCAUUCGGAGGCCUGCUAGUAGGGCUUUAUACUCUACUUCGUUAUUAGAUGCUUUAAAGCCUAGAGUGAUUGCCUGCUCGAGCAUCAAACCGUCUGGGGUGACAAGGGCCACACUUGCUCCCGAGCCCUUGUAGUUGGAUGUGUCGACGAGGUGCAAAUGCCAGAAAUCUUCAUCGGGUGAAGUAGGCGUGGCUAGGGCAUGCUUGGCUGUUUCUGAAGCGUCGUUGGGUAGCUCUGUUGCGUCGCUUAGGCUAGGUUUGAAGGCUCAGUAGGGAACCGUGAGCUAGGGCCAUUUUACACACAGCAGGAAAUGCUCAACUACCAGUAUUGGGCCGUUCUAAAGCUGAAUUACGGAGCAAGAGCAGGAGGUAGUGCUCAACUACUGGUACAUAUUGCUCUUAUGUAGAAUCUUCUGGGGCAACGAGGAUAAAACUUGCUUCCGAGUGUCUUUCUAGUGUUCAUCUGCCCUUGGCGUGCCUUUUGGGCUAAGUUGUUGUAUUCGUAAAAAAAACUUUGUACAGCCAGUGUCUGCGCCUUUAUCGUCGCGCGUCUGGAUUAGGCAGAAUAGUGCGUCAUAAGGAUGACUGCGUGCGUCUAAAGGUAUAACUUGAGCUUCAGAGUUGCAACAACGAUCGCCAAAGUUAGCCUUUGAAUUUCUGGAAGUUGGUUUUCACAUUGAAGAGAGUUUUUCAACUGUGGAAUACAAGUAGUUGGGCCCCCAGCUCUUCUCGCAUGAGGGUAGAACUUAUAGUUACUUCAGAUGCGGUUGCUCAUCUAGUCAGACCUUGAAUCUCUUUUAGAGUAGUGGGGGACUUCAUAUUCAAGAUCGCACGGAUUUGCCUUGAAUGUGCAUCGGCGAGCCUCGUCCCAAAGUGCAUGCUUAUCUGCCAAAGCAAAAAAGUCUGCCAGAGUUAGAUAUUCUUUCAUGAUCAAUUCUCGGAACAGUGGGUGGUUUGCUGAGAGUCAUUUUUGGAAGGUUCCACUAGCUAUCAAGUCGUUGCAUUCGACUAUCUUUGCCUUCUCUACUUUGAACUUCUUUAUAGUUGUGAAUCGAUUCCUUUGGGUUCUUCUUGAUGUUGAACAAGUGGUCAGACUUCUUCUUGAUCGAGCAAUAGGAUGAAUAUUCUUUGGUGAAAACAAAAAAAAGUUUGUCGAAACUCCGAAUAAAUUGUGGUGGGAGGGUGUUGAACCAAUCUUGUGCCUUGCCUUGUAGAGUAGUGGUGAAUAUCUCGCACAUGAGAAUGUCAUUGUUUUGAUAAAGGAUCAUUGCGCUUCGAUAGUGCUUUAGGUGUCUAUCUGGGCCUCUAUCCCCUUUAAAUGAUGUGAAAUGCGACGUGCUGAACUUGCGUGGAGGCUCUGCCUGCUCAAUGUCUGUGAAGGGUGACCUACUUAUGUUAGUCAUGUCCUGUCGUAGUGCCUCGUCAAUGACCUUGUUGUGUCAAAAAUAGCGCAAUUGCUCGUUUAAAAGCCUCUAUACCUUUCCUAAAUUUGCCUUUGUUGGGUUAUCGGAGCUCUCGGCUGCUCCUGGUUGUGACCUACUGGUCUUAACUGCUCUUCCAUGUGUUCAGCUCGUCUAUGUCGUAGCUGCGGUACAUGUGGUACGUUCCUAACAGGCGAGCGAAUUUCUCGUAGGCUGCCAAUUGAACUUGAGCUGGAUUGAAUGACUGCUUCUCUCUGUCCGUCGUGCUGCCUACUCCAAUGUGAGGUGGAGGAUGUUUCUUGUGGGCCUAGCCGUGAAUGAACGCUUCGCCUCAAAAAAAUUAAUACCUUAGGUCAAGGCCAAUGGCCUCACGCGCCCAUGAUGAAUAAGGGGCAUUUGGCCGAAGAACCUCCAAUGCCAAAGUUAGAAUUUGAGGGAAAAGUGUUUAGAGAAAUUUAGAGAAUUUUGCAAGAGAAUUAGAAUUAGGUUUUUGGAGAAAUGGGGUGGUAUUUAUUGGGGGGUGGCUGGCCCUCUUUGGAGAGAUGGGAACCGGCCACAUAUGGUGGUUUUUUGGUGUAAUUGCAAGAUAUUAUGUCAAAAUAAUAUCUUGCAAUCAAUUAGGAAAUUAAUUAAUUUAGGUAAUUAAUCCUAUUUUGAAUGAAUAUUUUAGGGUUACCUUGUGGGGAGGAUUUGGUGGGGAUUGAUGAAAUAGGUUUUGAAUAAAUACCUAUUUUGAUCACUUUUGACCUUGAUUGAUUCGUGAUUGUUCGCUGCUUGUGCCUCGAGGGUAAUUUUGUCUUAUUCACCCAAAAAUCCACGUGUUGUCUUCAUAUUUUUUUUUAUUAUUUUUUGCUCCACAAUAUAUAAAAGCAGUUGUUAGGAAAAUCACAUAUAUAUAUAUAUAUAUAUGUAAAAAGGAAAAAACCAACUCACAGGUACUUGCAAUGUCACAUCCUUUUAAGCUAAGAAAGUCAAAGUCUUUGACAAUAAUCGCACCUAAGCAUAAUAUUGGGACCCAUUAGUAAAACUCAACUUAAACGAUCAAAUUUGAGAAAAUGGAAUGCGUAUUUGGAAUCAGAGCGUCAAAAUACGUUAAGAGGGGUCCCGAGUGAUUUUUAUAAAAGUCAACGGUCAACCCUUAAAAAAUCAACCGGGACGCCCCAGCAGUAAACUACGUCAAAACCUAGUAAUUUCACUAAAUGGAUAUCAUGGACUCGGGACGUCGAAAUUAGCUUACGAGGGUUUCCGAGAAAAUUUCAAAAAAGUCAACAAAAGUAAACUAAUGGUCGACAGUUGAUUUUAACGGAAUAUUCCAUUCUCAAAUGGAAUAUUCUGUUAAAGUUAAUGGGAAGGUUAACAGAAUAUUCCCUCCAAAAUAAAAAAUGGACCCAAGUCAGAUCUGGGUUAGGGUAAACGAGUCGUGGGCUUGGGCCAGUUACAAGUAGGGCUGGUUUAGUAUAGGAUACCAAACCGAAACUAGUAUCCCGAAUCCCAAACCAAAAUGUUUCGAGAUGGGAAAUUGAAGACCAAUCUCAAACCAAAUUUUCGGGAAUCCCGAAAUAUUUUUAGGAUUUUGGGACAAAUCGGGAUCCCCAAAUUGAAAUAUAAAAUUAUGAAUUGUUCUUCAAAUAUAUUCUACCAUCAAACUAUUUAAAUUCAACAUUCCAUCUACAAUUUCUUCAAAUAUAUUCUACUAAAUUCCAUCCGCAAUUUCUUCAAAUAUAUUCUACUAAAUUCCAUCCUCAAUUUCUUCAAAUAUAUUCUACUAUCAAACUAUUUAAAAAAUUAAAUUCAACAUUCCAGCGAUAAACACUAAAGUUGCAAUAGAAUACAAGGAGACGUUCUGUUUAUGUGAACCUAGGAUCUCUAAACAGCAAUGGCUAGCUAAUAUAGAGUGGAGCUUCCGUGGUGAAUCUAUUGAUGUUGCAGCAGCACAUUUGAGUUCCAACUGCCCAUCAGAACAUCAGGGUGUAUGAAACCAUAUCUAAUAAUUGGUGAAUCCAAUUUCAAACUACACAUAGUUUAUCUCACCCAAAAGAAAUAAAAGAAGCUAAUUAUUAAUCUAUGCAGAUCAUCUUGAAACUUUGGGGUCAACCAAAUUCCAGUAAAGUAUCAUAUUGUUAUCACCUUUCUAUCUUUUUAUUCUUUUUUUUUUCGAGAAAGAGUUCCUAUCCACAGCAAGCAGCAUUCUUUUCAUUCAAAACUCACUAUAAAGUCCAGUUAUAAUUUGUACAUAAUACCCUCACUCUCGUACUUACAAAGUAGGUCACUAGAAGGAAGUCUUGCAGUUUAAUAUUGUAUAAUUAGAAUUAUAUGUAAUAGCCUCACUCCUAAAUAAAAAAUAAAUAAAUAAAUCGUAAACCCUACCCUACUGGUAAACAUAAAUAUAGAAAUUAAGUUAGGGCUGGAAUCAUGAACAUCCAAUCCAAAACAUGAACAAAAUUCACAAACUUUGAGUGUCUGAUAGAGAGAAUCGGUGCACGGUGCACUGGAAGAAGAAGACUCUCAGACUUUGAGUGUCUGAUAGAGAGAAUCGUGUGAGAGAGAAUCGUGAGAGAGAGAGAGAGAGAGAAAAUGGUGGUCGUGGCUCUAUGUGGUGAAGGAAGGCUCUACAGUAAAGGAUGAGAAGUUGAGAGAGAUAGAUCAGAGAGGUGAUAGUGUUUGGGUUAAAACUUAAACUUUAGCCACAAAAAGGGACUUGGCCCAAAAAGAGGAGAGAAACCCGAAGUCCAGCCCAAAGCCCAGAAUACAAAAGAGGCCUUUCUCGACUAGGUGCAGGUCAUUUGCACCACUUAUUCACCUACCCAAAGACCAAGUGGUAUAGACCAGCCAACUAAUCAGCCCAAAAGUACUUUAUAAUGGUAGUACAAGUAAAUAGCUGAUAAGUCACUAUCCUUCAAACUGCAUUCGGGCAAGAUUGCUGCUACAGGAAGCCAAGCCAAAGUGUCUAUAAAAAAAGAAAGAGAAAUCAGAGUUGAGGACACUCAAACAAACAAACACUCAAACAAACAGACACUUAAACAAACAAACAAAUACAAGCACAAAUUCUGCUCAAAAGCCAGAUUUGCUUUCAAACGAAGCUGUAGUCAGCCCAAGCCUUCAUCCCUUUCGGGAUAAACCCUCAUUCAAGCCUUUGUAAUAACUCUGCUACCUUGUUCAACUAUUGUUGCAGUAUCGAUUUCUUUCUGUAAAACCAUCUCCCUACCCCUCUUCUAAAGCUCUCAACCCCUUUGAUAAACCACAAAGAUAGGAAGUUGCAAGACGAUUAGCCUUGCCCGACCCUCUUUGUUUCUGUCUUUUUAUUCAUUAACCUAGCAAUAUGUUGUAUACUUCAAGUUGUAUUCAAGUUAUUUCUAGUAAGAUGGCUAUUAAAAGACUCUCUCAGUACUUGAAUCCGAUUUGAAUAUGUCUUCACAGUUCAAAUCAGAUCUAAGUUCAAAACCCUCAGGCAUGUAAGAUUUGAUCACUUAAAAGUCCUUGGCCUCAAGGCAUAAAAAGAACCUUAUGUGGACUUAACCCAUCCACGACAAGCUUUGAUAACAAGAAGUCCGAAGUUACUUGGGGCGCAAGUAAUCGACCUAUUCCUUAGUUUUAUUUCUAUUAUUUAUGAUUACCAUAGAACGUUUAAGUAUAGAAUGAAUUCUGAUAUGAAGCCUCAAGACCUAUAUCUAAGGCCCUACAAAGGCACCUAUUUGGAUUCAUUCUAUUCCUCGGGCUAGAACGUUUGAGUAUAGAAUGAGUUCUGAUGGGAAGCCUCAAGGCCUAUAUCUAAGGCCCUACAAAGGCACCUAUUUGGAUUCAUUCUGCUCUUCGGGCUCAGGUAAUCAGAAGUAUAAUGGUUAUAAGACUCAUACAAUCAAUGAAACGGAUAUUAUAUGUUCGAGUACUGAGUUAGUUAUUGACUGGAAGCCUCAAGGCCUACACCUAAGACCCCACAAAGGCACCUGUCAUAACUAACACGGUCUCUUGGAUAUAUAUACAACUAAAACUCAACAUUCGUUUUACAUAUGUCAUGCUGAAGAUGGCAGUGGCACGCCUGAGCGCUUAAAAGUUAAUUUUGAUUGUGAGCCUCAAGACCUACAUCUAAGGCCCCACGAAGGCACCUUUCAAAGUUAACCAUGUCCUUCUCUUUCAGCUUUGCUCGACAAGCUUUGCCCGAUAAAGCCCACCAGUGAAGCAGAAGCCCGACAGAAAGCAUUAACCGGCGUCAACCUCUUGGGGAGCUGUGUGCUCGUCGGCCAGGGAACAUCCCCGACGGAAAUUCCUACCACAAACAUAGUUUUGGCACGCCUGGUGGGAUACAUUUGAUCAAAAGAGAUAUGUCACAACGAUCAGAAGAUUUGCAAACUACUUUGUUGCAAAUGCUACAAAGACUGGAGAACGCCUCCGCAGGUUUCAGACGAGAAGCCAACCUGGUUAUAAGUCUAACUAUUCCUAUAUCUUUACCUCUAUCUGGGGAAAAAGAUAAUAGACUUGAAACCAACCAGCUAGAGGAAGCAGUGAUGGAUAAACCUACGGAUUCCUUCUCAGAGGCCCCAAUAAAUAUGAUCAGUAUGGCCUGGGCUAAGAAGGGAAAAGAAAAGGUCAUAAAGGAAGAAGAAAGAAGAUUGGUUGACAAACCCACAAAAGGGGUGGUCAACUUGCCCGAAUAUCCAAGAGCUGCUAUAAUCAAAGGGAUGGUGAUGUGCAGUAAGUGCCAAUGCGAGUGUGAGCUCGAAAUACCGCCUACAGGAACCCUCAUAGAUCAGGAACUGAUCAGAAGGAAUGAAGAAGAAAAGAGAAGAGAGGCACAUGAGAAAGCUCGGCGGACUGCAGGAAGGGAUACCUCCUGAAGUGUCUUUCAGCGAUUAGGAGGCGAUUCCCAACCAAGGGCUUUAUCAAAGAUAUUUUGCAACCAUGAAGUUUCUGAGAAGGCAGAAGAUAAAGAUGCCAAGAAGCAGAAAGAAAGGGGUGUAGAGCACUCUCAGUACGGCUAUAUGGGAAAAGAAGUCAGGAGGAAUGAUAGGAUAACAAACCCUGUCAAAAAAGAUAAUCAUGCCCGCCUCGGGCGAAAAUGGUACGUGGUUCGGAAGAAUGGACAGCCCGUUAAACAAAUGGGAGCCUCCAUGGUCAGAAGGGUUCAAAGGCAACACAUAGCCUACAUAAAUUCCUUAAAAACCCCUACGACGUCGGAAGCAUCCAAGAAUCAAAAGUUGGAGAAAACGUCAUCUGGGGGAUUGGUCAGCUCCGCUGGAGGAGUAAGAAGAAGGUGGAAAAUGCUAACAGCAAGGCUGAAGGCGAGGGAAACCAUGUGCCACAAAGCCAACACCCUGGGAAAUAUAGGAUCUUGAUGAGAGCUCAAGAAGAUAUGAUCAUGGUGCCAACUCCCGGAUGGAAGACAGAGCAGCCCAUUUGCUUUGGGACUGUUUCGCUUGAAAGAAAACCAUUUUCUCCAUCAUUAGUAGAACCUUUCAAGGAAGUUCCAAAACAAACACCGUAUUCAGGCGUGAAUCAGCAGAAGAGGGCACCAAAACCACUGCUUCCAGCAGAUGCGAUGACUUGGUUAGAUGAGUUCAUAGACCAGAUUAGGAGCAAGAAAGAAGAACUGCCAGAGCCUAGCAACUUUCAUAUCAACAUGGCAUACGUGCUAUCCGCCAUGUUUAGUGCCAGACCUGAUCAGCCUGCCACGAUGGAAGGAGACUAUGUGACAACUGAGCCAAUGAUGGCUCAUGUCAGCGUGGAGGUAGCUGAAGAGGGAGAAUCGGGGAAAGCUGAAUCAUUUGAAGCACCCAAGGUUGGUCCUUUAAGGAUCUAUACGGACAAGAUGGUGUUCAGCCGCCCGAGCAUUUCGCUUGCCAAUCACCUAAAGCCCAUAUACGUUACAGCCUAUUUGGAAGAAGUGUCUUUCAAAAGAAUUUUAAUUGAUGGAGGAGCGGCUGUUAAUGUACUACCGGCUAAGCAAAUGAAAAAGUUGGGGAAAGACAUAGAGGAUCUUAUUCCUACAGACCUCACGGUUUCUAGCUUCUCAGGCGCUAUCACCAAGACUCAUGGGAUAUUGCCUUUAGAAGUGGAUUUGGGGUCUAAACAGAUCAUGUUGGCAUUCUUUGUGAUGGACUGCACUUCCACCUAUGGAGCCUUACUCGGAAGAGAUUGGAUCCAACAAAGUCUUGUCAUACCCUCCACUCUACAUCAACAAGUGGCUGUUUAUCAUGAGGCAGGCGCAGAAGGACCAGGCUUUUGGGAGAUGGUAGAGGCCGAAUCACGGCCAUUUCUUCCCACAGCCAAUGUUGCUGAAGCAAAUUUCUACAACCCCAACGGAGGAAUUUUGAAAUGUUCAGGAGCAGACGAGAACGGUCGCCCUACCAAGGUGACGGCCCAAAAGCUUCUAGAACAAGGAAUGCUCCUUACUAGAGAGCGGUGGGAUAGACCUUGUAUCGUCCUAACACCCCUACACCAUCAAUGAUAGAACAAAAUAAGAAGGAUCAGGUAAUGGUAGUCAGAUCCCUGAUUAAAAGACUAUUGGUGUAUAGGAAAAGAAUAAGACAAGAAAAUAAGCUCUUAGACAGAGAAGAGCAGGAAUGGCAGGUAGGAGCUUCAACCAGCCAGGAUGAGAGCAAGGAGCAAUCUUGUCAAGAAGAAUUGGAAAGGGCCAUUCAAAUGGCUGAGUGCAUAUACGAUCUAGAUGAGCCAGACAACCUGCCCGAGAGCCCGGAGCUAGUUGAAUUUUUGUGUGCAAAACCUGAUAAGCCACCACCAGAAGUCCAAGAUCCUCUGGACAUUAUUGAUCUAGGGACAGAGGAAGAUCCAAGACCAAUACAAAUUAGUGGUUUAUUGGAGAUUGAUGAUCGGGCAAAAAUUAUCUGUCUUUUGCAAGAAUUCAAAGAUUGUUUUGUUUGGCAUUAUACUGAGAUGCCAGGAUUAAAUGCAGCCUUGGUGGGACACAGAAUGCCCAUCAAGGAUGGAUAUAAACCUGUUAAGCAAGCACCGCGAAUGAUGUCAAAGGAGAUAGAAGAGAAAGUCAAAGAAGAGAUUGAGAGGCUAGUAAAAGCCGGAUUUAUCAGGCCAACCAAAUAUGUGGAGUGGUUAGGCAACAUUGUACCUGUUUUAAAGGCUAUAACAAAAGCAAUAUGAUGUUGUGUUGAUUAUAGAAAUAUUAAUGGCGCUACACCGAAGGAUGAGUAUCCCAUGCCCAUGGCAGAUCUAUCCAUAGAUGCAGUAGCAAAACAUAAAGUCUUAUCUUUUAUGGAUGGAAAUGCCGGGUAUAAUCAGAUAAAGAUGGCUCCAAAUGAUAUACAUAAAACAGCUUUUAGGUGUCCUGGGCAUGUGGGGGCAUAUGAAUAUCUGGUCAUGCCAUUGGGGCUCAAGAAUGCUGGUGCGACCUACCAAAGGGCAAUGAAUGCCAUCUUUCAUGAUCUGAUUGGCCAUAAUAUGGAGGUGUAUAUUGAUGACAUCGUCGUGAAAUCCAAGACAGAAGAGCAACAUCUGAUAGACCUCAGGCAGGCAUUGACAAGAAUGAGGGUCCACAAAUUGAAGAUGAAUCCAAAGAAGUGCGUGUUUGGAGUGAGAGCAGGCAACUUCUUAGGAUUCCUGGUUCAUCAAAGAGGUGUAAAAGUGAACAAAAACAAAUCGCAAGAAAUAAUGAAGUCGUUUUCACCCACCAACAAGGUGCAACUCCAGAGGCUGCUAGGCAAAAUUAAUUUCUUGAGAAGAUUCAUUGCCAAUCUAGCGGGCAAGAUCCAGCCGUUAACUCCUUUGCUAAGACUGAAGAAUAAGGAGAAUUUCGAAUGGGGACCACCACACCAAAAGGCUUUCGACAGUAUUAAAGCUUAUUUGACUUCUCCGCCAGUGUUGGUACCACCUCAAAGAGGAAAACCCUUAAAGCUAUAUAUCUCCACUUCAGAUAAAUCAAUCGGAAGUUUGCUAGCUCAAAAUAAUGAAGGCGGGAAAGAGCAGGCAGUGUACUACCUCAGUAGAAUUCUGACCGAGGUAGAAACAAGAUAUUCCCCAGUCGAGAGAUUGUGCUUAGCUCUGUAUUUUACUGCCAAUAAGCUGAGGCAUUACAUGUUACUUUGUCACGUGCACAUCAUCGCCAAGACAGAUGUGAUAAAGUACAUGUUAUCAAAGCCAAUGUUAACAGGAAGGAUUGGGAAGUGGAUUCUAGCAUUAUCAGAAUUCAGCUUUCAGUAUGUACCCUAAAGGGCAGUCAAAGGCCAAGCAAUUGCUGAUUUCUUGGUGGAGCAUCAAGAGUCUCAAGAUGAGAUAAUCAAUAUCCCAGGAACCCUGGAAGUUACUAGGGUUUGGAUCCCGCCAAGCAAAGGUGUCUCGGGCAAAGAUGAUUGGGUUCAGCAAGAGAUAAAAAGAGUGGUUGGUCUAUGGAUUACUCCUUGGAAGCUAUAUUUUGAUGGUUCCCACACUCAGAAGGCUUCAGGAGCAGGGAUUAUAAUUAUCAACCCUCAAGGGGUAUAUCAUUAUUACUCAUUUUGCUUGGAUUACCAAGGGAAUACCAAUAAUCGGGCAGAGUAUGAGGCCUUAAUAAUUGGUUUGGAAAUCUUGAUGGAUCUAGGGGCAAUGGAGGUAGAGGUCUUUAGCGAUUCAGAGUUAGUCAUAAACCAGCUAAAUGAGGAGUUCAAGUGCACAUAUAUCACCAUGGCCGGAUAUUACUUGGCGGCCACGCAAUUGCUGAGUUAUUGGGACUCUGAGAUAUCGGUUAGUCAUGUUCCCAGAGGAUCCAACCUAGCGGCCAACGAGAUGGCGCAAUUAGCUUCAGGCAUGCUAAUACAUGAAAGAAAAUAUGGGUUGGAUGUCGAGAUUCAAAGAAGAAACCUUCCUUCUAUCCUGGAAAGAGGGUUUAGUCUGGAUGUAAUGGUGCUAGAAACGGAGAUAGAAGAUUGGAGGUCGCCCAUCAUUCAUUAUUUAAAGGAUCCCUCUUCACCCACAAGCAAGAAGGAUAGACAGCAAUCAACUAAGUAUGUUUUGUGGGCGAAUGACCUGCUAAGGAAAACUCCAGACGGGUUGUUAUUGAAAUGCUUAGGCCAAAAGGAAUUUAUGAGAGUAAUGGCCGAAAUACAUGAAGGAAUUUGCGGAGCACAUCAGGCUGGAACGAAGAUGAGGUGGUUGCUGAGAAGAUGUGGUUAUUUCUGGCUUGAUAUGGAAAAAGAUUGCAAGUCUUAUGCCCGAGGCUGUGAAGAAUGUCAGAGGCAUGGUCCUCUCCAACAUGUACCCUCAGUGCCUUUAAAUCCAGUGGUCAAGCAUUGGCCCUUCAGAGGAUGGGCAAUGGACUUCAUCGGGCAGAUCUAUCCAGCUUCUAGCAAGGGGCACACUUUUAUCAUUGUAGCAACGGAUUACUUUACCAAAUGGGUAGAGGCCUCGGCCGUGAAAUCCAUAACUUCGGCUGCAGUAAAAAAAUUUAUUGAGACCAAGAUUCUGUACAGAUUUGGAGUGCCCGAAACCAUAGUAACAGAUCGUGGGCCAUCUUUUAUUUCAAAAGAGGUCGAAGAGUUUGCAAGCAAAUACAAAAUAAAGAUGAUCCAGUCCAGUCCUUACUACCCGCAGUCAAAUGGCCAGGCAGAAUCCAGCAACAAGAUUUUGGUAAACAUUAUCAAAAGAAUGGUGAUAGAUAGUCUGAAAAAGUGGCAUGAAAAGCUGGGGAAUACUUUGUGGGCAUACAGAACUUCCAAGAGGGCAGGAACAGGGACAACUCCUUAUGCUUUAACUUUCGAGCAAGAUGCAGUGCUUCCCAUGGAGAUCAAUGUAAGUUCUGUCAGAAUUCAAAAUCAGUUUGGGUUACACAGUGAAGAGUAUAUCGAAGCCAUGUGUCAAGGGAUUGAAGACUUAGAUGUAGCCCGAAUUGAAGCCUUGAACCAGAUUCAAGAAGGGAAGAAAGCUAUUGCCCGAGCUUAUAACAAAAAGGUGAAGACAAAGUCUUUCAAGGAAGGAGAUUUGGUGUGGAAGACAGUCCUUCCUCUAGGAGCUCAGUUUAGGGGCUUUGGAAAAUGGAGCCCGACAUGGGAAGGUCCUUUCAUGAUUAGUCGAGUAUUAGGCAAAUGAGGAUAUUACUUGGCGGACCUCGAAGGAAAUUGGCAGAAACAUCCCAUUAAUGUUAAAUUCUUGAAAAAGUAUUGUCCUACAUUAUGGGAUGUUAGAGAUUGUUAUAUUGAAGAGGAUGCAAAGUAAAGCAGGUUUCGGGAUGCUAAAGUACAGUGUAUAUUCAUCAAUUAUUCAAAGAAGACAGAAUGACACAAAGCUGUGAAGAUAAUGUUUAUUUCAUUUCGACAAAUUGGUGAAGUUUACAACAGAUUCAAUUCUGAUGUGCUACGUUAUAUUCCUUCCGGUUGCAAUGACGUCUCAGCUGUGUUUCUGAUGUCUUCAUGGAUAGAAUCCGAUCAGGUGAUCAGGUUGUACGGCCAGGAUGAGCCUGGUAGAAGAUCAUCAGGCAGAGUCAUCACCAUAUAUGAUGGUGAAGCCUGAUUUAUCAUGACGGCGAGCAGGAAGGCAAGUCUUCAUGAGGAAAACCCUUGACCAAGGGUGUUGGAGAUAGCGGUGUGUUUGACCAAAGGUGUUGGGGAUAGUAGUUGUCUGAUGGAAACUCUUUUUCUCACGAAAAUGGAGUUUUAGGAAACCCCACUUGAAUCCUGAAGAAUUCAUUUCAUAGUUUUGGGAAGAAAACUAAGAAGGCAGAAGUACUCAGGGUUAAUAAAAGCGAAGACUGAAAGAGGUUUGUUGGCUGAACAAAAGCAAUUUCAAGCUUGAAUUUAUAGAAACCUCAGAGGAUAGCCCAAAGGUCGUGAAGAAGAGCAAGAGACGCAGGAUCGUAGACAUCCUGUCUAGAAAACAAAAGUUCCAAGAGCGGGUAUACAAGCAUGCGGAUAUUCAAUCAAUAUUGGCGCCUGGAUUCCAGUCUGAAUAUUGAUUGAAGGUGGCAUUGUUUGGGUUAAAACGUAAACUUUAGCCACAAAAAGAGAGUUGGCCCAAAAAGAUGAGAGAAGCCCGAAGUCUAGCCCAAGGCCCAGAAGACAUAAAAGGAUUUUCUCGACUAGGUGCAGGUCAUUUGCACCACUUACUCACCUACCCAAAGACCAAGUGGUAUAGACCAGCCAACUAAUCAGCCUAAAAGUACUUUACAGUGGCAGUACAAGUAAAUAGUUGAUGAGUCACUAUCCUUCAAACUGCAUUCGGGCAAGAUUGCUGCUACAGGAAGCCAAGCCAAAGUGUCUAUAAAAGAAGAAAAGAAAUCAGAGUUGAGGACACUCAAACAAACAAACACUCAAACAAACAGACACUCAAACAAACAAACAAAUACAAGCACAAACUCUGCUCAAAAGCCAGAUUUGCUUUCAAACGAAGCUGUAGUCAGCCCAAGCCUUCAUCCCUUUCGGGAUAAACCCUCAUUCAAGCCUUUGUAAUAGCUAUGCUACCCUGUUCAACUCUUGCUGUAGUAUCGAUUUCUUUCUGUAAAACCAUCUCCCUACCCCUCUUCUAAAACUCUCAACCCCCUUGAUAAACCACAAAGAUAGGAAGUUGCAAGACGAUCAGCCUUGCCCGACCCUCUUUGUUUCUGUCUUUUUAUUCAUUAACCUAGCAAUAUGUUGUAUACUUCAAGUUGUAUUCAAGUUAUUUCUAGUAAGAUGGCUAUUAAAAGACUCUCUCAGUACUUGAAUCUGAUUUGAAUAUGUCUUCACAGUUCAAACCAGAUCUAAGUUCUAAGCCAUCGAGCAUGUAAGAUUUGAUCACUUAAAAGUCAUUGGCCUCAAGGCAUAAAAAGAACCUUAUGUGGACUUAACCCAUCCACGACAAGCUUUGAUAACAAGAAGUCCGAAGUUAUUUGGGGCGCAAGUAAUCGACCUAUUCCUUAGUUUUAUUUCUAUUAUAUUAUGAUUACCAUAGAACGUUUGAGUAUAGAAUGAAUUCUGAUAGGAAGCCUCAAGGCCUAUAUCUAAGGUCCUACAAAUGCACCUAUUUAGAUUCAUUAUAUUCCUCGGGCUAGAACGUUUGAGUAUAGAAGGAGUUCUAAUGGGAAGCCUCAAGGCCUAUAUCUAAGGCCCUACAAAGGCACCUAUUUGGAUUCAUUCUGCUCUUCGGGCUCAGGUAAUCAGAAGUAUAAUGGUUAUAAGACUCAUACAAUCAAUGAAGCAGACAUUAUAUGUUCGAGUACUGAGUUAGUUAUUGACUGGAAGCCUCAAGGCCUACACCUAAGGCCCCACAAAGGCACCUGUCAUAACUAACACUGUCUCUUGGAUAUAUAUACAACUAAAACUCAACAUUCAUUUUACAUCUGUCAUGCUGAAGAUGGCAGUGGCACGCCUGAGCACUUAAAAGUUAAUCUUGAUUGUGAGCCUCAAGGCCUACACCUAAGGCCCCACGAAGGCACCUUUCAAAGUUAACCAUGUCCUUCUCUUUCAGCUUUGCCCGACAAGCUUUGCCCGAUAAAGCCCACCAGUGAAGCAGAAGCCCGACAGAAAGCAUCAACCGGCGCCAACCUCUCGGGGAGCUGUGUGCUCGUCGGCCAGGGAACAUCCUCGACGGAAAUUCCUGCCACGAACAGAUAGGUCAAUCGAGAGAGAGGCAAGCCACUCUCACUUGUGUGAUGUGGGUGUGGUCGAAUUCAAAGACGGCUAAGGAGAAGGAGAGAGAUCGAGAGAAAUCGGCGAAGAGGGUAAGGUAAGGUUGGGAGAGAAAAUGACUAAGUGAGGGUUUUAUUUGGAUUCAACAGUUGAGAUUAAAUCUCAACCAUAUCCGACAGCUGUUACAAUUCUAAAUAUAUAUUUAAAAUUAAAUAAUAUUUUUGUUUUCGAUUCGGGAUUACUGAGCGGAUGAAAAUGUGAAACUGAUUCCCGUACCGAAAUUUUGGGAUUGGGUACUGAAAUUUUCAAGAUUUUCAGUUUAGGAUUUUUUCAGUUCAAUUUCGAGAUUUUUUUGGUUCAGUUUGGAAUUUUCGGUAUUUUUUUCCACCCUUAGUUCCAGGUUUGGGCUUUCUUCUCCUUUUUUUCUCCAGUCGGGUCGACCCGGUCUCUAUCAUGGGUCUGGUCGCCGGAAUCUGGGCAGCGAUUCCAGAGCUUCAAACGAGCUCAAAACUCAACCAUUUUUCACACUCUUCCUACCAAAAUGAAGAUAAACGAGAGUAGUUUAGGAUUAUACCUUUCCCCGAGUCAGCUGUGGUCGGAGUUGGCCUGAAAAGGCCUGUAACUCGCGACAUACACCACCGAAAAAAUUGGGGAAGACUCCCCGAUGCAUCUCAGCAUUCAAAUGUCACCAAAAUCCUUAAGAAACACUAGAAAUGUAUAGUAAAAUACGAUCCACAAAAACUUGGGUGGUUUUCAAAACUUACAUUCAUCGGAAACGAUGAGGAGUUGCCAGAGGACAUGGCGUCAACGAUGAUUUCGGUGCCUUUACGCCUUGAGCACAGAGAAAGUGAGGGAGAAUGAAGAUUGAGAUAAAGGGAGGGUGAUAGGGGAGAGAGAUGUGAUAGUUGGAGACAAGGACGAUGGUGGUCUUGAAACAAGGCGUCAGCGAUCGCCAUGGCCGUUUCUGUGCAGCGAGCACAUAGUGAGUGAGAGAGGUAGGGAGUCCAAUGGAGAUGUGAGGGAAUCUAAUCCCCUUGAAUUUGGAAAGGAUGACAGGUAGUGCCAUUAAGGUGGUAGUUCAGCGAAGCUCGCCAAAGGUGUAGUGGUGAUGGCGGGUCUCUGUGUAUAUAGAAAGAGAAAGAAAGUGAAAAGAGAGAGAGUGCGGGAAUUAAAGUGUUGAGGCAAAAGAGUGAUAAUGACAAAGAUGAGUGAGGGAUAAUGCCUGACAAAGAGAAGAGAAUAGAAAAUAUGGGGAAAGUGGAGAUUAAAGAAAACAAAGGAAAUGGAUGUGAUAGUUAAAAUAACAAAAGAAAUGAAUAUGAUGAUUAUAAAAACAGGAAAAGUCUUCAACAUUCAGAGAAAUCACGGUUUGGAUUUCCAAUCCCAUAUAAAAAUUAAACGUGGGUCCCACCACUUAAUUAUAGCAAUAGGUAGAAAAAUGCAAAUUUCAAAUUUAUUUCUUCUAAAAUGAAGCGUAACUAAGACUCCGAAUUUGGUUCUACUUGUGUCUAUGAGUUCGUGUCGUCGAGUACUACAAAGAUACGCUAAAAGAAUGUUUCAUACGUCUCACUAUACGCUGGUCAACGAAGUUCAACAAUCUCGCAUCUAGAGACAUUUUGUCAAUUCACUCCUUUUAAAAUUAAUAAAAUCGUAAAAUUAGGGAUGAGCUAUUAAAAUCAAGCAUUACAUAUUAUAUACCAAAAAAAAACUAAAAUAUGUUUAAAAUAUCCUAAAUUUCUCUUUUGAUCUAAUAAUAUUUCUCUUUUUCAUAACAAUGAGUGUUAUGUAGAGCCACUCAGUACUACGGUCUUAUGGUAUUUCU
rnacentral:lncRNA from 1 species